rnacentral:rRNA from 1 species
AUAUCAGUCAUGCAUAGCAUAUCAAUAACGGAGGAAAAGUCUGCGGAACUGAACGACCGCUACCUACGCUUAGGAUGUUGAUCUACAGAGCGAGAGUCUAUACAUGACUCUGUGCAUAUCAAUAAGCGGAGGAAAAGAAACUAACAAGGAUUCCCCUAGUAACGGCGAGUGAAGCGGGAAGAGCUCAAAUUUGAAAUCUUAAAAGGUUUUCCUUUUACGAAUUGUAGUUUAAAGAAGUGUUUUCUGUUGAAAUUUUAGUAAAAGUUCUUUGGAAUAGGACAUCAUAGAGGGUGAGAAUCCCGUAUUUGACUAGAAUUUUUUCAACUUUGUGAUACACUUUCAAAGAGUCGGAUUGUUUGGGAAUGCAGUCCAAAAUGGGUGGUAAAUUUCAUCUAAAGCUAAAUAUUGGCGAGAGACCGAUAGCGAACAAGUACCGUGAGGGAAAGAUGAAAAGAACUUUGAAAAGAGAGUUAAAUAGUACGUGAAAUUGUCAAAAGGGAAGCGUUUGGCACCAGUGUUGUUUUUCUAAAAAUCAAUUUAAAAUUUACUUAUGCUAAGUAUUUUUAGACUUAUCAGCUAUAUAUUUAAUUUUUUGUAAUUUUUGAAUGCACUUUUUAGUUAACAAGUCAACAUCAAUUUCUUUUGUUGUAAAAGAAUAAGAGGAAGGUGGCUUGGGAUUCGUUUCAAGUGUUUAUAGCCUUUUAUUUCUGCAAUAGGAGGGAUUGAGGUCUGCAGCAUAGAUCCUUCGGGGCUAGAUGCAUUUUCGCUAAGAGUCAGUAUUAUAUAAACAACUUGUUGAUUAUGUAGUAUGUUGAUUUUUACUCGGGAGUGUUAUUUUACCUACGCUUAGGAUGUUGAUCUACAGAGCGAGAG